rnacentral:rRNA from 1 species
GAUGAACGCUGACAGAAUGCUUAACACAUGCAAGUCAACUUGAACUUCGGUUUGGGUGGCGGACGGGUGAGUAACGCGUAAAGAACUUGCCUCACAGUUAGGGACAACAUUUGGAAACGAAUGCUAAUACCUGAUAUUAUGAUUUUAGGGCAUCCUAGAAUUAUGAAAGCUAUAUGCGCUGUGAGAGAGCUUUGCGUCCCAUUAGCUAGUUGGAGAGGUAACGGCUCACCAAGGCGAUGAUGGGUAGCCGGCCUGAGAGGGUGAACGGCCACAAGGGGAAGGAGACACGGCCCUUACUCCUACGGGAGGCAGCAGUGGGGAAUAUUGGAAAAUGGACCAAGAGUCUGAUCCAGCAAUUCUGUGUGCACGAUGAAGUUUUUCGGAAUGUAAAGUGCUUUCAGUUGGGAAGAAAAAAAUGACGAUACCAACAGAAGAAGUGACGGCUAAAUACGUG